rnacentral:ncRNA from 1 species
AACCCAUACAGCGAUGUAUGGCUGAACGUUAAGAAGUCAGCAGAGGUCAUAGUACCGGAGGUAGUCGACGACCUUUGGGAAGGAC